rnacentral:rRNA from 1 species
CAGUCGCCACGGGAAUACGAAGGGGGCUAGCGUUGCUCGGAAUGACUGGGCGUAAAGGGCGCGUAGGCGGCGAUCAAAGUCAGGCGUGAAAUUCCUGGGCUCAACCUGGGGGCUGCGUUUGAUACUUGAUUGCUAGAGUGGGGAAGAGGGUCGUGGAAUUCCCAGUGUAGAGGUGAAAUUCGUAGAUAUUGGGAAGAACACCGGUGGCGAAGGCGGCGACCUGGUCCUUGACUGACGCUGAGGCGCGAAAGCGUGGGGAGCAAACAGGAUUAGAUACCCCAGUAGUCCCUGUCUCUUAUAC